UACAGAGACUGCAAGCGUUAUUCGGAUUCACUGGGCGUAAAGGGUGCGCAGGCGGCUAUGUGUGCCAGGUGUGAAAUCCCGGGGCUCAACCCCGGAACUGCGCCUGAAACUACGUAGCUAGAGUAUUGGAGAGGGUAGUGGAAUUCACGGUGUAGCAGUGAAAUGCGUAGAUAUCGUGAGGAACACCAGAGGCGAAGGCGACUACCUGGACAAUUACUGACGCUCAGGCACGAAAGCGUGGGGAGCAAAAGGG
rnacentral:rRNA from 1 species